CUACGGGUCGCAGCAGUGGGGAAUAUUGGACAAUGGGCGCAAGCCUGAUCCAGCAAUGCCGCGUGAGUGAAGACGGCCUUAGGGUUGUAAAACUCUUUCGCUAGGGAAGAUAAUGACUGUACCUAGUAAAGAAGUCCCGGCUAACUCCGUGCCAGCAGCCGCGGUAAUACGGAGGGGACUAGCGUUGUUCGGAACUACUGGGCGUAAAGAGUUCGUAGGCGGACUGACAAGUUAGAGGUGAAAUCCCAGGGCUCAACCCUGGAACUGCCUUUAAAACUGUCAGUCUAGAGACCGGAAGAGGUUAGGGGAAUACCUAGUGUAGAGGUGAAAUUCGUAGAUAUUAGGUGGAACACCAGUGGCGAAGGCGCCUAACUGGUCCGGUGCUGACGCUGAGGAACGAAAGCGUGGGGAGCAAACAGGAUUAGAUACCCGCGUAGUC
rnacentral:rRNA from 1 species